rnacentral:rRNA from 1 species
UACGUAGGGUGCAAGCGUUUAAUCGGAAUUACUGGGCGUAAAGCGUGCGCAGGCGGUUAUGUAAGACAGUUGUGAAAUCCCCGGGCUCAACCUGGGAAUUGCAUCUGUGACUGCAUAGCUAGAGUACGGUAGAGGGGGAUGGAAUUCCGCGUGUAGCAGUGAAAUGCGUAGAUAUGCGGAGGAACACCGAUGGCGAAGGCAAUCCCCUGGACCUGUACUGACGCUCAUGCACGAAAGCGUGGGGGAGCAAACGAGG